rnacentral:snRNA from 1 species
UUGCUUACUUCAGCAGCACAUAUACUAAAAUUGGACCAAUAUAGAGAAGAUUAGCAUGGUCCCUGCACAAGGAUGACAGACAAAUUUGUGAAUAUUCACAGACCAAU